UACAGAGGUCUCAAGCGUUGUUCGGAUUCAUUGGGCGUAAAGGGUGCGUAGGCGGCGCGGUAAGUCGGGUGUGAAAUCUCGGGGCUUAACUCCGAAACUGCAUUCGAUACUACCGUGCUUGAGGACUGGAGAGGAGACUGGAAUUUACGGUGUAGCGGUGAAAUGCGCAGAUAUCAGGAGGAACACCGGUGGCGAAGGCGGGUCUCUGGGCCGAUAUUGACGCUGAGGAGCGAAAGCGUGGGGAGCGAACAGG
rnacentral:rRNA from 1 species